UUGAGUUCGAUCUUUCACUGAGGUAGGACGGGAAGAUAUCGUUCGGAUUUGUAGGAAACCGCGUACGCGUACCUGUUCUCAAUUGGGACCUUUUGGGGUCACCUGUCCCUUCAAUUCAAGUUGAGGGGCUUUGUUCGAAUCGGUGGGUGGGUGCACAAGUUUAGCGGUGUCAUUAGGCAAUGUGUCACAAGUAGUAGCAAAAAAGUGCAACCCGUGUCCGUCAGAGUCAGAUUUUGCGAUGUUAUUUCAGUCCAUUUAAAUUGUGGAAUGCCUAAAGAUCAGAAAGCCGUGAAGAGGCAAAGUGAAAUAAUUGCGCGGCAGUGCAGAGUGCAUCGUGUGAAAUAAAAACCGCAAAACUUGGAAAAGUGAAAGGCACUGUGCGAACAUCGGAGAAAAAAGUGGAAUGAAGCACACGCAUAAUCGGAACUUCAACAACAACAGAAAAAAAACCGUGAAUGAAUGGGCGAAUAUGUUGAAGGAAGCAAAACAGUGCCACAGCUCAGCCAGUAGUAGUUGUUAAGUGGCAGAAGCAAAACAGGAAAAAAAACGACGUUUUAAGGUCGGUGUCAAUGGU